GAUGAACGCUGGCGGCGUGCCUAAUACAUGCAAGUCGAGCGAACAGAUGAGGAGCUUGCUCCUCUGACGUUAGCGGCGGACGGGUGAGUAACACGUGGAUAACCUACCUAUAAGACUGGGAUAACUUCGGGAAACCGGAGCUAAUACCGGAUAAUAUAUUGAACCGCAUGGUUCAAUAGUGAAAGACGGUUUUGCUGUCACUUAUAGAUGGAUCCGCGCCGCAUUAGCUAGUUGGUAAGGUAACGGCUUACCAAGGCAACGAUGCGUAGCCGACCUGAGAGGGUGAUCCGCCACACGGGAACUGAGACACGGUCCAGACUCCUACGGGAGGCAGCAGUAGGGAAUCUUCCGCAAUGGGCGAAAGCCUGACGGAGCAACGCCGCGGGAGUGAUGAAGGUCUUCGGAUCGUAAAACUCUGUUAUUAGGGAAGAACAAAUGUGUAAGUAACUAUGCACGUCUUGACGGUACCUAAUCAGAAAGCCACGGCUAACUACGUG
rnacentral:rRNA from 1 species